UUUUUCUUGACAUCGAUACUUAGUAAGAAGACAAUUCUUGCACGUAACCAAAUCAGUUUCCGUUAAAAUAAAAUUAUUUGUAUUGUUUCAUGAAAAAAACUAAUUAUGGUAACACAAAAUUGUUCUAUAACUGAAAUUGGAAUUAAACAAGUAAGAACAGCCACAUAAGAUUUCGAGCAGUGUUGAAAUGGUAGUAGCAGUAAGGGAAGUAUGUUCCAUAGAUUUCGACAUAUCUUCUUCUCUAACUUCUUGUUGAAAAAUAAAUUUGAUUUGGAUCAAACAUUAUUGGGUUAAUCAUGUGUUGAUCCAAAACUUAGCCCAAAUUCUAGAAAAAUCAUCCACCUCCUUAAAAUAAAAAUCUAGAUAUUCUUAUAGAAUUAUCUAGAUAAUUAGAAUAAAAUAAUCUAGAUUUUUAAGUAGAAUUCUCUAGAUUUAAGAUUAAAAUAUGUAAGAUAUUUUGUACUUUGGAGGCUAUAAAUACCUCCACUCUCUUUUCAUUUUGUAUCACCAAGAAAUAAACAAAGCUUGUAACAAGUAAUAAAAAUCUUCUUCUAAGUUAUAAAAUCUUUCUUCUUCACAAAAUUUCUUUCUCUUCAAACACUUAAAACACUUUCUCCAUCUCUACAAAGUUUUUCAUUCCAACAAAGUGGUAUCAGAGUUAUAAGUUCCUUUGAAGAUGGUAAACAAUGGUGUUCCCUUCCAAGUUCCAUUACUCACUAAGAGCAACUAUGACAAUUGGAGUCUUAGGAUGAUGGCUAUCCUAGGAGCACAUGAUGUGUGGGAGAUAGUCGAGAAAGGCUUCAAUGAACCGGAGAAUGAUGGUGGUCUAUCUCAAACACAAAAGGAUGGUUUGAGAGAUUCAAGGAAGAGAGACAAGAAGGCUCUCUGUCUAAUCUAUCAAGGAUUAGAUGAAGAUACAUUUGAGAAGGUUGCUGGUGCAAGGACGUCCAAAGAAGCAUGGGAGAAGCUUCAAACAUCUUACAAGGGAGCGGAACAAGUUAAGAAGGUACGUCUUCAAACUCUAAGAGGAGAAUUUGAAGCGUUACAAAUGAAGGAAGGAGAACUCAUCUCAUAUUACUUCUCAAGAGUCUUGACGGUUACUAAUACCUAAAAAGAAAUGGUGAGAAGUUAUAUGAGGUGAGAAAUGGAGAAAGUUCUUAGAUCAUUGGAUUCAAAAUUCGAGCAUAUUGUCACCGUGAUUGAAGAGACAAAAGACUUGGAGACUAUGACAAUGGAGCAACUUCUUGGAUCACUACAAGCUUAUGAAGAAAUGAAGAAGAAGAAAGAAGAUAUUGUGGAGCAAGUUCUCAAGAUGAGAAUUGAUCACAAGGAAGAAAGUGGCCGAAGCAAUCCAAGACGUGGUGGCGGUCAUUUCCGAGGACGAGGCCGUGGUGUAAAUGGAAGAGGUUGGAGACCAUAUGAAGACAACUUUAACCAAAGAGGAGAGAACUCAUCAAGAGGUCAUGGAAGAGGAAACCCAAAAUCAAGGUACGAUAAAUCAAGCAUCAAAUGCUAUAGUUGCGGAAAGUUUAGACAUUAUGCUUCUGAAUGCAAAACUCCAAACAACAAUAGAGUUGAAGAGAAGUCCAACUAUGUUGAAGAAAUGAGUAAAGAAAAAGGUAUGCUAUUGAUGGCUUACAAGAAAGAUGAACCAAAUGAGGUUCACAAGUGGUACCUUGAUAGUGGUGCAAGCAACCACAUGUGUGGGAAUAAAAGCAUGUUCGUGGAGCUCGAUGAAUUGGUGAAAACCAAUGUGGCUUUGGGAGAUGAAUCGAAAAUGUAGGUGAAAGGUAAAGAAAAUAUUCUCAUCCGCUUGAAGAAUGGAGAUCAUCAAUUCAUUUCCAAUGUUUACUACAUUCCAAGCAUGAAGACCAACAUCAUGAGCCUAGGACAACUCUUAGAAAAAGGUUAUGACAUUCGACUAAAAGAUAAUAGCCUUUCUUUAAGAGAUAAUGCAAAUAAUCUCAUCACAAAGGUGCCAAUGUCAAGCAAUAGAAUGUUUGUCCUAAACAUUCAAAAUGACAUUGCACGAUGUCUCAAGAUGUGCUACAAGGAGGAAUCUUGGCUUUGGCAUCUUCGAUUUGGGCAUCUCAACUUUGGAGGCUUAGAGCUACUUUCCAAGAAAGAAAUGGUGAAAGGAUUACCUUGCAUCAAUCAUCCAAAUCAAGUGUGUGAAGGUUGCUUACUUGGAAAGCAAUUCAAGAUGAGUUUUCCAAAGGAGUCGGAGACAAGAGCAAGAAAGCCACUAGAACUCAUACAUACAGAUGUAUGUGGCCCAAUCAAACCAAGUUCACUUGGUAAGAGUAACUACUUCCUUCUCUUUAUUGAUGACUUUUCAAGAAAAACAUGGGUUUACUUUUUGAAACAAAAAUCAGAAGUGUUUGAAAAUUUCAAAAAGUUCAAAGCCCAUGUUGAGAAGGAAAGUGGUCUUAAGAUCAAGUCCAUGAGAUCAGAUCGAGGAGGAGAAUUCAUGUCCAAGGAGUUUCUGAAGUAUUGUGAAGAUAAUGGCAUUCGAAGACAGUUGACGGUGCCAAGAACCCCUCAACAAAAUGGAGUAGCGGAAAGAAAGAAUAGGACAAUACUUGAGAUGGCAAGAAGCAUGCUCAAGAGUAAGAAGCUACCAAAGGAGUUGUGGGCAGAAGCAGUUGCUUGUGCGGUUUAUAUAUCAAACCGUUCUCCAACAAAGAGUGUUUUAGAAAAAACACCACAAGAAGCUUGGAGCGGAAGGAAGCCUGGAGUCUCACACCUAAGAGUCUUUGGAAGCAUUGCUCACGCUCAUGUUCCAGACGAGAAGCGGAGCAAACUAGAUGAUAAAAGUGAGAAGUAUAUCUUCAUUGGGUAUGACGCUAACUCCAAAGGCUACAAGCUCUACAAUCCUGAAACAAAGAAGACAAUCAUUAGUCGGAAUGUCAUCUUUGAUGAAGAAGGAGAAUGGGAUUGGAGAUCAAAUAAUGAAGACUACAAGUUCUUUCCAUCCUUUGAAGAAGAGAAUGUGGAACAACCGAGAGAAGAGUCAGCUACACCACCAACUUCACCAACAACAAGUUCUCAAGGAGAUGAAAGCUCAAGUGAAAGGACUCGACGUUUUAGAAGUCUACAAGACAUCUAUGAGGUAACUAAAAAUCAAGAUAAUCUUACUCUAUUUUGUCUAUUUGCGGAUUGCGAGCCUAUGAACUUUGAAGAAGCUAAAGAAAAGAAGUCAUGGAGAAGUGCAAUGGAUGAAGAAAUCAAGUCAAUUCAAUACAAGACAUCUACGAGGUAACCGAAAAUCAAGACAAUCUUACUCUAUUUUGUCUAUUUGCGGAUUGCGAGCCUAUGAACUUUGAAGAAGCCCAAGAAAAGAAGUCAUGGAGAAGUGCAAUGGAUGAGGAAAUCAAGUCGAUUCAAAAGAAUGAUACAUGGGAGUUAGCUUCACUUCCAAAUGGACACAAGGCAAUUGGUGUGAAGUGGGUGUACAAGGCAAAGAAGAACUCUAAAGGAGAAGUUGAAAGGUACAAGGCAAGAUUGGUGGCAAAAGGCUAUAGCCAAAGAGUCGGAAUCGACUAUGAUGAGGUAUUUGCUCCAGUUGCUCGCUUAGAAAUGGUUAGACUAAUCAUUUCAUUGGCAGCCCAAAAGAGUUGGAGGAUACAUCAAAUGGAUGUCAAAUCAGCCUUCUUAAAUGGAGACCUUGAGGAAGAAGUCUACAUUGAGCAACCACAAGGCUACAUAGUUAAAGGAGAAGAAGACAAAGUCUUAAGGCUGAAGAAGGCGCUUUAUGGAUUAAAGCAAGCACCAAGAGCAUGGAACACUCGGAUUGAUAAGUACUUCAAGGAGAAAGGCUUCAUCAAGUGUCCAUAUGAGCAUGCACUUUAUAUCAAAACUCAAAACAAUGAUAUAUUGAUUGCAUGCUUAUAUGUUGAUGACUUGAUAUUCACUGGCAACAAUCCGAUUAUGUUUGAAGAUUUCAAGAUGGAGAUGACAAAGGAGUUCGAGAUGACCGACAUUGGAUUGAUGUCAUACUACCUUGGCAUUGAAGUAAAGCAAGAAGAAAAUGGAAUCUUCAUUACUCAAGAAGGCUAUGCUAAAGAGGUGCUUAAGAAGUUCAAGAUGGAUGACUCAAAUCCAGUUUGCACGCCAAUGGAAUGUGGAGUCAAGUUAUCAAAGGAAGAAGAAGGAGAGAGUGUGGAUCCAACACUCUUUAAGAGUUUGGUUGGAAGCUUACGAUAUCUAACGUGCACAAGGCCCGACAUCCUACACGCAGUUGGAGUUGUGAGUCGAUACAUGGAGCAUCCAACAACAACUCAUUUCAAGGCAGCCAAGAGGAUCCUACGCUAUAUCAAAGGUACAAUCAACUUUGGCUUGUACUACUCUAUUUCUGACGAUUACAAGCUUGUUGGAUAUAGCGAUAGCGAUUGGGGUGGAGAUGUAGAUGACCGGAAAAGCACAAGUGGCUUCGUGUUUUUCAUUGGAGAAACCGCUUUCACAUGGAUGUCAAAGAAGCAACCAAUUGUCACUCUUUCUACUUGUGAAGAGGAGUAUGUGGCAGGUACUUCAUGUGUUUGCCAUGCUAUUUGGCUACGAAACUUGUUAAAGGAGUUGAACCUACCACAAGAGGAGCCAACGAAGAUCUUUGUGGAUAACAAGUCGGCAAUAGCAUUGGCGAAGAUUCUAGAAAAAUCAUCCACCUCCUUAAAAUAAAAAUCUAGAUAUUCUUAUAGAAUUAUCUAGAUAAUUAAGAUAAAAUAAUCUAGAUUUUUAAGUAGAAUUCUCUAGAUUUAAAAUUAAAAUAUGUAAGAUAUUUUGUACUUUGGAGGCUAUAAAUACCUCCACUUUCUUUUCAUUUUGUAUCACCGAGAAAUAAACAAAGUUUGUAACAAGUAAUAAAAAUCUUCUUCUAAGUUAUAAAAUCUUUCUUGUUCACAAAAUUUCUUUCUGUUCAAACGCUUAAAACACUUUCUCCAUCUCCACGGAGAGUUUGUCAUUCCAACACUUCUUAACUUCAUAUUCUCAUCACUGCACCACGCUUGACGUCACACCACCAUUUCUUCUUCACGUUUCAUCAUUAUUUUCUCAGAUCUAUAAAUAAAACAAAAAAAAUCAAUUACAAAUAUCAUAACAAGAGGAAGAGAAAGAGAGUGUGUAAUAAGAGGAAGGGAGACAAGAUAUUGACCAUAAACAAACAAAGGUUUGAGCAUUGAAACUGAUGUUGAACCAGAUCAGAGGGGAGGAGCAGAGGGAGAGAGAAAAACCAGAUUUGCUUAGCUCUGAUACCACCGUCGCCUCAGAGACACGUUGCCUCUUCCUCUGCCAUCUUUAGCUCUGGUUAGCCAUGAGAUUCAAAUUUGUUUAGAUCUGAGUUUUUUCUUAAAUAAACAGAGAACAAGAAGAGAUGAAACACCAAGAUGAAAUAUAUAAAAUUCGAAAAACAAGAAGAGGAAAUCAUGUAAAAUCAGAGAUUGAAAACUAAUUGAAACAAUGUUAAGAAGAUGAAAGAACGAGUGAUAGAAAGAUAAACACUAAACAGGUGAAAACUCUUGUUUACUGCAAAACGUCUUUUCAGAAUUAAUGCACAAACGUGUUUGUGUUAGACUAUUUUCUUUCUAUAUGUGACCGGCUACAUAGGAACAACUUCGCCAUUAUAAAAAAUUGAAUAGUACGAUGUCCAUCUGCCUAAUUAAAUAAGUUUUAUAGUUAUCUACUGCAAUUUCCCUUAAAUUAAUCUAUUUUUUAUCGAUAACAAUAUUUUCUACAUCCGCUCAG
rnacentral:lncRNA from 1 species